CAGUCGAACGAUAUUUUCCAGCUUGCUGGAAGAGAAAGUGGCGCACGGGUGCGUAACGCGUAUGCAACCUACCUUUAUCAGGGGGAUAGCCCGGAGAAAUCCGGAUUAAUACCGCAUAAAAUCACAGAAUAGCAUUAUUUAAUGAUCAAACAUUUAUGGGAUAAAGAUGGGCAUGCGUGUCAUUAGCUAGUUGGCGGGGUAACGGCCCACCAAGGCGACGAUGACUAGGGGAUCUGAGAGGAUGACCCCCCACACUGGUACUGAGACACGGACCAGACUCCUACGGGAGGCAGCAGUAAGGAAUAUUGGUCAAUGGAGGCAACUCUGAACCAGCCAUGCCGCGUGCAGGAAGACUGCCCUAUGGGUUGUAAACUGCUUUUAUCCGGGAAUAAACCUCUGCUCGUGAGCAGAGCUGAAUGUACCGGAAGAAUAAGGAUCGGCUAACUCCGUGCCAGCAGCCGCGGUAAUACGGAGGAUCCAAGCGUUAUCCGGAUUUAUUGGGUUUAAAGGGUGCGUAGGCGGCCUGUUAAGUCAGGGGUGAAAGACGGUAGCUCAACUAUCGCAGUGCCCUUGAUACUGAUGGGCUUGAAUGGACUAGAGGUAGGCGGAAUGAGACAAGUAGCGGUGAAAUGCAUAGAUAUGUCUCAGAACACCGAUUGCGAAGGCAGCUUACUAUGGUCUUAUUGACGCUGAGGCACGAAAGCGUGGGGAUCAAACAGGAUUAGAUACCCUGGUAGUCCACGCCCUAAACGAUGAACACUCGCUGUUGGCGAUACACAGUCAGCGGCUAAGCGAAAGCGUUAAGUGUUCCACCUGGGGAGUACGCCCGCAAGGGUGAAACUCAAAGGAAUUGACGGGGGCCCGCACAAGCGGAGGAGCAUGUGGUUUAAUUCGAUGAUACGCGAGGAACCUUACCCGGGCUUGAAAGUUAGUGAAUGAUCUAGAGAUAGAUCAGUGAGCAAUCACACGAAACUAGGUGCUGCAUGGCUGUCGUCAGCUCGUGCCGUGAGGUGUUGGGUUAAGUCCCGCAACGAGCGCAACCCCUAUGUUUAGUUGCCAGCAUGUAAAGGUGGGGACUCUAAACAGACUGCCUGUGCAAACAGAGAGGAAGGAGGGGACGACGUCAAGUCAUCAUGGCCCUUACGUCCGGGGCUACACACGUGCUACAAUGGACGGUACAGAGGGCAGCUACAUAGCAAUAUGAUGCGAAUCUCACAAAGCCGUUCACAGUUCGGAUUGGGGUCUGCAACUCGACCCCAUGAAGUUGGAUUCGCUAGUAAUCGCGUAUCAGCAAUGACGCGGUGAAUACGUUCCCGGGCCUUGUACACACCGCCCGUCAAGCCAUGGAAGUUGGGGGUACCUAAAGU
rnacentral:rRNA from 1 species